rnacentral:rRNA from 1 species
UACAGAGGGGGCAAGCGUUGUUCGGAAUUACUGGGCGUAAAGGGCGCGUAGGCGGCCCGCUAAGUCGAACGUGAAAUCCCCCGAGCUCAACUCGGGAACUGCGUCCGAUACUGGUGGGCUUGAAUCCGGGAGAGGGAUGCGGAAUUCCAGGUGUAGCGGUGAAAUGCGUAGAUAUCUGGAGGAACACCGGUGGCGAAGGCGGCAUCCUGGACCGGCAUUGACGCUGAGGCGCGAAAGCUAGGGGAGCAAACGGG